rnacentral:rRNA from 1 species
AGUGAACGCUGGCGGCGUGCUUAACACAUGCAAGUCGAACGAGAACGGAUUAUAGCUUGCUAUAAUUGUCAGCUAAGUGGCGCACGGGUGAGUAAUGUAUAGGUAAUAUGCCUCUUACUAAGGGAUAACAAAUGGAAACGUUUGCUAAUACCUUAUACUCCUUAUUAACAGAAGUUAAUAAGGGAAAGAUUUAUUGGUAAGAGAUUAGCCUGUAUUGUAUCAGUUAGUUAGUGGGGUAAUGGCUUACCAAGACUAUGACACAUAACUGGUUUGAGAGGAUGAUCAGUCACACUGGAACUGAGACACGGUCCAGACUCCUACGGGAGGCAGCAGUGGGGAAUAUUGCACAAUGGACGAAAGUCUGAUGCAGCAACGCCGCGUGGAGGAUGACACAUUUCGGUGCGUAAACUCCUUUUAUAUGAGAAGAUAAUGACAGUAUUAUAUGAAUAAGCACCGGCUAACUCCGUGCCAGCAGCCGCCGUAA